CACACGUUAAAUUGAUUGACGACGAGAACCAACCAAUACACAAACCUGUAUGCAAGGGUCAUGCAUUCGAAAAGUUUUGUCAACGACGCGUCAAUGGAGAGAUGUGAUGUACACUUCUUCCCGAAGUGAUACGUCCGACAGGCUCAUUCUCUGUGGGAGAGAGCGCAAAGAUGAGAAGGAGAACUGGAGGAAAUCCAAGACAGCAGAACGUCAGACAGCAAGGAAGAGAGGGGAGAAGACAGGAGAACAUCUCGAGAGGGCAGGCCCACACAAGACAAACAUGGCAUAUUAAUCUCAAGGCAGAGGAACUAGUCUUUGCUAAACAUAAAUAUGCCACUUCUGACAUGUCCUGUGUGUAUAAAUUGUUAGACACUGAUAUUUUCCCAUCACUGAAGGCAAUCAUACAGACUGUGCUGACCAUCCGUUAGCAGCUGUGGGAGAUCUUUCAGUGCAUUAAGACAUCUACAUACCUGGCUUAGGAGACCAAGAUAGAAUGCCCCAUGACAAUUUAAUAAGGAUAUUCAUACUGUAAUACUAACACACUGGGAAAGAGUGACGUCAUAGUCAGGUUUGCACCUAGUUUAAUUUCUCAUUUUUAUGGAUGGACUAAUCCUAGUACUGUGUAAUAUAACUAGCAACCAUUGUGAAUAUUUUGUUGGAGAAUGGAUUGUAUGCUGGUACAUGUGUGUAAAAUUGUGAGGUGUUGUUACUACAGGGGUGUUGGAGGGGGUGUAUUUGUUUUUGUGUAAUUACUUGGGUAGAAAUAUUGUCAAGUAGUUAAU